GUCCCUUCUGGGGCACCCAAUAAAAUUGGAACAAUAUAGAGAAGAUUAGCAUGGCCCCUAUGUAAGGAUGACAUGCUCAAAUCGAGAAAAAAUGGGAGUUAAA